rnacentral:piRNA from 1 species
UACCAGAGACCUCUUGGAGAGAGC